rnacentral:miRNA from 1 species
GGGGUGUGUGUGUGUGUGUGUGUGUGUGUAUACAGCCUGUUGUGCGCACACACACACACACACACACACACAGU